UCAUCUUCGGGGGUAGAGCACUGUUUCGGCUAGGGGGUCAUCCCGACUUACCAACCCGAUGCAAACUACGAAUACCGAAGAAUGUUAUCACGGGAGACACACGGCGGGUGCUAACGUCCGUCGUGAAGAGGGAAACAACCCAGACCGCCAGCUAAGGUCCCAAAGUCAUGGUUAAGUGGGAAACGAUGUGGGAAGGCACAGACAGCCAGGAUGUUGGCUUAGAAGCAGCCAUCAUUUAAAGAAAGCGUAAUAGCUCACUGGUCGAGUCGGCCUGCGCGGAAGAUGUAACGGGGCUAAACCAUGCACCGAAGCUGCGGCAGCGACACUAUGUGUUGUUGGGUAGGGGAGCGUUCUGUAAGCCUGCGAAGGUG
rnacentral:rRNA from 2 species